rnacentral:rRNA from 1 species
CGUCCUUAGAUAAGCCCGCAAUACGCCCACCGCCGGGUAAUCUAGGGUGCAACGUUAAUCGAAAUUACCGGGGGCGGUAAAAAGGCCGGUGGCGGCCAGGGGCGGGUUAUGCAAGACAGAUGUGAAAUCCCCGGGCUCAACCUGGGACCUGCAUUUGUGACUGCAUAGCUAGAGUACGGUAGAGGGGGAUGGAAUUCCGCGUGUAGCAGUGAAAUGCGUAGAUAUGCGGAGGAACACCGAUGGCGAAGGCAAUCCCCUGGACCUGUACUGACGCUCAUGCACGAAAGCGUGGGGAGCAAACAGGAUUAGAUACCCUGGUAGUCCACGCCCUAAACGAUGUCAACUGGUUGUUGGGUCUUCACUGACUCAGUAACGAAGCUAACGCGUGAAGUUGACCGCCUGGGGAGUACGGCCGCAAGGUUGAAACUCAAAUGAAUGACGG